UUGAGAGGAUGAUCAGCCACACUUGGACUGAGACACGGCCCAGACUCCUACGGGAGGCAGCAGUGGGGAAUUUUCCGCAAUGGGCGAAAGCCUGACGGAGCAACGCCGCGUGCGGGAGGAAGGCCUGUGGGUUGUAAACCGCUUUUCUCAGGGAAGAAGUACUGACGGUACCUGAGGAAUCAGCAUCGGCUAACUCCGUGCCAGCAGCCGCGGUAAUACGGAGGAUGCAAGCGUUAUCCGGAAUUAUUGGGCGUAAAGCGUCCGCAGGCGGCUGUUCAAGUCUGCUGUCAAAGACUGGGGCUUAACCUCGGAUAGGCAGUGGAAACUGAAUAGCUAGAGUGCGGUAGGGGUAGAGGGAAUUCCCAGUGUAGCGGUGAAAUGCGUAGAUAUUGGGAAGAACACCAGGUGGCGAAGGCGCUCUACUGGACCGCAACUGACGCUGUGGGACGAAAGCUAGGGGAGCGAAAGGGAUUAGAUACCCCUGUAGUCCUAGCUGUAAACGAUGGACACUAGGUGUUGGCCGUAUCGACCCGGUCAGUACCGAAGCUAACGCGUUAAGUGUCCCGCCUGGGGAGUACGCACGCAAGUGUGAAACUCAAAGGAAUUGACGGGGGCCCGCACAAGCGGUGGAGGAUGUGGUUUAAUUCGAUGCAACGCGAAGAACCUUACCAGGGCUUGACAUCCCGCGAACCUUGCUGAAAGGCGAGGGUGCCUUCGGGAGCGCGGAGACAGGUGGUGCAUGGCUGUCGUCAGCUCGUGUCGUGAGAUGUUGGGUUAAGUCCCGCAACGAGCGCAACCCUUGUCCUUAGUUGCCAUCAUUCAGUUGGGCACUCUGAGGAGACUGCCGGGGACAACUCGGAGGAAGGUAGGGAUGACGUCAAGUCAUCAUGCCCCUUACGUCCUGGGCUACACACGUCCUACAAUGCUGCGGACAAAGGGCAGCCAGCCGGUGACGGCGAGCUAAUCCCAUAAACCGCGGCUCAGUUCAGAUUGCAGGCUGCAACUCGCCUGCAUGAAGGAGGAAUCGCUAGUAAUCGCAGGUCAGCAUACUGCGGUGAAUACGUUCCCGGGCCUUGUACACACCGCCCGUCACACCAUGGGAGUUGGCCACGCCCGAUGUCGUUACUCUAACCUUAGGGAGGAGGGCGCCGAAGGCAGGGCUGAUGACUGGGGUGAAGUCGUAACAAAGGUACCCGGUAACCA
rnacentral:rRNA from 1 species